rnacentral:lncRNA from 1 species
CUUUUUCAUUAGGUGGGCAUUAUUCAUGAAUUUUUACAAGAAAGAGUGAGGACAGAAAUGAAAGAUCCAUGAUGAAAAUCUAGCAGAGAGGCUUUUUUGUAGUUGACAAUAUUGAGUGAUGCAUGAGGAAUUCUUCCAUCUCUAUGACAACAAGCCCAUUUUAGCUUUCUGGAGAAUAGCAUCUGAGAAAAGCCAAAGUGCCUCAAUUUACAGACAGCUCACUCACAGAAGCAGAGCCACCUAAUUCACCAGCAUCUAACCACUCACACCUGAAGGAGCCAAACUGAGCCCAGAAGAAUGGCCCGGCUGAGCCCAGCCUAAAUUUCUAACCAGCUCAAUCCUGAGCUAGUAUGUUUCGGGAUUGUUAUGCAGUUAUAAGUUAGUAAUAUAUACACCCAUUAAAGACAGGAUCUCAGGACAGAUUGAUUACAAAUAACCUGCAAAUGCUUGGCACCCUGACCUGGACAAUUCACACUCACGGCCUUCCUUCUGGGAACAGAAGUGCAGCUUCACUCUUUCCACCUGCUGUCGGUUUUGCUUGGGCACUCAUGGGUAAUAACCAAGAUGGAGUCACUGUGGUCAACUCCAGGCAUGCACAGAUACAACACCCUUAGCGGGGAAAUUUAACCCUCCCAUUUGGGCAGAACCCACAGAAGACUUCCUCGUUCUUGCCACAUAAAAGACCCAGAACUCAGCCCCAUUUCUGGCAACCUGCUUUCAUGUCCCCUUUCUGCUGAGAGCUUUCCUUUUG